rnacentral:miRNA from 1 species
UGAAUCUAGUCUGAAGUCUGAUUUG